rnacentral:rRNA from 1 species
CCUACGGGGGGCAGCAGUGAGGAAUAUUGGUCAAUGGCCGGAAGGCUGAACCAGCCAUGCCGCGUGAAGGUCAGUGCCCUAUGGGCGUUAAACUUCUUUUGUGCGGGAGCAAUAAUGGUCACGUGUGGCCAGACGAGAGUACCGUACGAAUAAGCAUCGGCUAACUCCGUGCCAGCAGCCGCGGUAAUACGGGGGAUGCAAGCGUUAUCCGGAUUUAUUGGGUUUAAAGGGUGCGUAGGCUGUGAGGUAAGUCAGCGGUGAAAUGCCCCCGCUCAACGGGGUGAAGUGCCAUUGAUACUGCCUGGCUGGAAUGCGGAUGCCGUGGGAGGAAUGUGUGGUGUAGCGGUGAAAUGCAGAGAUAUCACACAGAACACCGAUUGCGAAGGCAUCUCACGAAUCCGCGAUUGACGCUGAUGCACGAAAGCGUGGGUAUCAAACAGGAUUAGAUACCCGUGUAGUC